AUAUUUUUAGUUUAAUUGGAUAAACAUCAACCUUCUAAGUUGAUUAGUGUAGGUUUGAAACCUACAAAACGUA
rnacentral:tRNA from 2 species